UUAAGCGACUAAGCGUACACGGUGGAUGCCCUGGCAGUCAGAGGCGAUGAAGGACGUGCUAAUCUGCGAUAAGCGUCGGUAAGGUGAUAUGAACCGUUAUAACCGGCGAUUUCCGAAUGGGGAAACCCAGUGUGUUUCGACACACUAUCAUUAACUGAAUCCAUAGGUUAAUGAGGCGAACCGGGGGAACUGAAACAUCUAAGUACCCCGAGGAAAAGAAAUCAACCGAGAUUCCCCCAGUAGCGGCGAGCGAACGGGGAGCAGCCCAGAGCCUGAAUCAGUGUGUGUGUUAGUGGAAGCGUCUGGAAAGGCGCGCGAUACAGGGUGACAGCCCCGUACACAAAAAUGCACAUGCUGUGAGCUCGAUGAGUAGGGCGGGACACGUGGUAUCCUGUCUGAAUAUGGGGGGACCAUCCUCCAAGGCUAAAUACUCCUGACUGACCGAUAGUGAACCAGUACCGUGAGGGAAAGGCGAAAAGAACCCCGGCGAGGGGAGUGAAAAAGAACCUGAAACCGUGUACGUACAAGCAGUGGGAGCACGCUUAGGCGUGUGACUGCGUACCUUUUGUAUAAUGGGUCAGCGACUUAUAUUCUGUAGCAAGGUUAACCGAAUAGGGGAGCCGAAGGGAAACCGAGUCUUAACUGGGCGUUAAGUUGCAGGGUAUAGACCCGAAACCCGGUGAUCUAGCCAUGGGCAGGUUGAAGGUUGGGUAACACUAACUGGAGGACCGAACCGACUAAUGUUGAAAAAUUAGCGGAUGACUUGUGGCUGGGGGUGAAAGGCCAAUCAAACCGGGAGAUAGCUGGUUCUCCCCGAAAGCUAUUUAGGUAGCGCCUCGUGAAUUCAUCUCCGGGGGUAGAGCACUGUUUCGGCAAGGGGGUCAUCCCGACUUACCAACCCGAUGCAAACUGCGAAUACCGGAGAAUGUUAUCACGGGAGACACACGGCGGGUGCUAACGUCCGUCGUGAAGAGGGAAACAACCCAGACCGCCAGCUAAGGUCCCAAAGUCAUGGUUAAGUGGGAAACGAUGUGGGAAGGCCCAGACAGCCAGGAUGUUGGCUUAGAAGCAGCCAUCAUUUAAAGAAAGCGUAAUAGCUCACUGGUCGAGUCGGCCUGCGCGGAAGAUGUAACGGGGCUAAACCAUGCACCGAAGCUGCGGCAGCGACGCUGAUGCGUUGUUGGGUAGGGGAGCGUUCUGUAAGCCUGCGAAGGUGUGCUGUGAGGCAUGCUGGAGGUAUCAGAAGUGCGAAUGCUGACAUAAGUAACGAUAAAGCGGGUGAAAAGCCCGCUCGCCGGAAGACCAAGGGUUCCUGUCCAACGUUAAUCGGGGCAGGGUGAGUCGACCCCUAAGGCGAGGCCGAAAGGCGUAGUCGAUGGGAAACAGGUUAAUAUUCCUGUACUUGGUGUUACUGCGAAGGGGGGACGGAGAAGGCUAUGUUGGCCGGGCGACGGUUGUCCCGGUUUAAGCGUGUAGGCUGGUUUUCCAGGCAAAUCCGGAAAAUCAAGGCUGAGGCGUGAUGACGAGGCACUACGGUGCUGAAGCAACAAAUGCCCUGCUUCCAGGAAAAGCCUCUAAGCAUCAGGUAACAUCAAAUCGUACCCCAAACCGACACAGGUGGUCAGGUAGAGAAUACCAAGGCGCUUGAGAGAACUCGGGUGAAGGAACUAGGCAAAAUGGUGCCGUAACUUCGGGAGAAGGCACGCUGAUAUGUAGGUGAAGUCCCUCGCGGAUGGAGCUGAAAUCAGUCGAAGAUACCAGCUGGCUGCAACUGUUUAUUAAAAACACAGCACUGUGCAAACACGAAAGUGGACGUAUACGGUGUGACGCCUGCCCGGUGCCGGAAGGUUAAUUGAUGGGGUUAGCGCAAGCGAAGCUCUUGAUCGAAGCCCCGGUAAACGGCGGCCGUAACUAUAACGGUCCUAAGGUAGCGAAAUUCCUUGUCGGGUAAGUUCCGACCUGCACGAAUGGCGUAAUGAUGGCCAGGCUGUCUCCACCCGAGACUCAGUGAAAUUGAACUCGCUGUGAAGAUGCAGUGUACCCGCGGCAAGACGGAAAGACCCCGUGAACCUUUACUAUAGCUUGACACUGAACAUUGAGCCUUGAUGUGUAGGAUAGGUGGGAGGCUUAGAAGUGUGGACGCCAGUCUGCAUGGAGCCGACCUUGAAAUACCACCCUUUAAUGUUUGAUGUUCUAACGUUGACCCGUAAUCCGGGUUGCGGACAGUGUCUGGUGGGUAGUUUGACUGGGGCGGUCUCCUCCUAAAGAGUAACGGAGGAGCACGAAGGUUGGCUAAUCCUGGUCGGACAUCAGGAGGUUAGUGCAAUGGCAUAAGCCAGCUUGACUGCGAGCGUGACGGCGCGAGCAGGUGCGAAAGCAGGUCAUAGUGAUCCGGUGGUUCUGAAUGGAAGGGCCAUCGCUCAACGGAUAAAAGGUACUCCGGGGAUAACAGGCUGAUACCGCCCAAGAGUUCAUAUCGACGGCGGUGUUUGGCACCUCGAUGUCGGCUCAUCACAUCCUGGGGCUGAAGUAGGUCCCAAGGGUAUGGCUGUUCGCCAUUUAAAGUGGUACGCGAGCUGGGUUUAGAACGUCGUGAGACAGUUCGGUCCCUAUCUGCCGUGGGCGCUGGAGAACUGAGGGGGGCUGCUCCUAGUACGAGAGGACCGGAGUGGACGCAUCACUGGUGUUCGGGUUGUCAUGCCAAUGGCACUGCCCGGUAGCUAAAUGCGGAAGAGAUAAGUGCUGAAAGCAUCUAAGCACGAAACUUGCCCCGAGAUGAGUUCUCCCUGACCCUUUAAGGGUCCUGAAGGAACGUUGAAGACGACGACGUUGAUAGGCCGGGUGUGUAAGCGCAGCGAUGCGUUGAGCUAACCGGUACUAAUGAACCGUGAGGCUUAACCUU
rnacentral:rRNA from 3 species